UGCCUCUCAAUAGAAUAUAAUAUCAAAGUUGUUUUACAAUAUGAACAUUAGGUCCUAGUUAUAGGUACUCAAUAAACCCUAGUCCAAGACGGAAAUAAACUCUAAAAGUACAAAACGAUACCAAAAAUAAGAGUUUAAGUAUGAAUAAAAGAUUUCUUGAAAUUUAGAAAAUCGUGUGGUAGCAUAGGUCAUUUCAAUACGUAGCAUAGAACAUUUGAAAACCCUCAAUUUGGCCUUAGUAUGAAGCUAUAUGGUCGCAUGCAUUUAAGGCUAUGCAGCAUAGCUUUAAACUAGACACCUCUUUUUCUUCGUGCAGAAUUUCGCGACGAUUUGGAAUUGCACUGGUGGGCAAAAAUUGGACACCCGAGCUGAAAGUUUUGCCCUUUUUAUCCACGCUACUCGUUUUUCUCAUAUAUCUUUAAAAACUUGAAUUCAAUGCACCAAACUUGACCCUAUUUUCAUGUCCAACAUAUAAGUUGUUAUUUGGCCUGUUGCACUCGAUCUCUUGGCCUUUGCAUCUCGGACAACUCAUUUCUUGGCCAAAUUGAUCCUCCAUAGCUCUUGGUUGUGUCUCUGGUUCCUCAUUAAGUUAAGCUGGAUCUUUGUAAAUUUGUUGUCUUCCUUGGAUCACAUCAUUCCCCCUCUCUUAGAAGGGAUUCGACCUUUGAAUCCGUACCUUGAAGAUCCAAGUUGUAGCCAUUGUCCCCUAUCAUGGCAAUGACAUGAAAUGACCCAUCUCCUCUAGGAUGAAACCUUGAUCUUCUUUGCUUUCAAACAUGCCCUUUUCAUCCAUGCACCCAAACCCAAUCAUCUGGUUUGAAUACUUUACUCUCUUUUCGUUUGCUACCUUCAGAUGCAUAUAAUUCAAUCUCCAUAUCAUAGUUCAAUGCUUUUCCUUCAAGGCUUAUCAGAUUCUACACUUGUACCGUUCCAAUUAGGUAUUCAAUGGUUGGUAUCCCACUAGUUAAGUCUUCAUGGGACAAGUUUUUGACUUCCUGUAGCAAAGUAAUAUUCAAAUUGGGGAGGGAUUUGUUAGUCCUCACCAAAGCAUUUUCAAUCUCACUCUUUUUUCCAUAAAAACUCGCUUUUUAUUUUUCUCUCCUCUCAGAAAACUCUCUUUCUUUUCUCUCUUGUGGUUCUAUUCUUUUUCUCAUACUUGGCCAUCUCUCGUUGCUUUUAUUUUUCUUCUUACCUCUCAACUUCAAUU
rnacentral:lncRNA from 1 species